AGGUUAGCUGAAGUUGCGGGCGCAGAAGAUGGACCUCAAUAUGAAUGAUUCAGAUGCUACCUUUGACUCUGCAACAGCCAAGAAAAAAAUGGUGUGACAGCCACAGAAUGCAGGGUCUACUCCUCUCCUUGUGUCCUCCGACGAUAACUCUAAAGUCUCUAAGGAUUUGGAUACUUCACUGUGGGAAAUUCUGGAUCAG